UGUUAUAAGUGUCCAAUGUUUUCCAAUUUCUUCUCUUAUCAUUUCCUUCUCUUCCUUUUCAGCUUCACACCCAUUUCUUCCCAAUUUCAUAUUCCAAUUUCACCCAUUUCUUCAAAUUAAAAUCCCUAAUUGAUUUUUGAUCUUUGUCUUCUUUCGCUGUUAAAGACCUUCUUCAAAACUCAAGAAGGAUGUUCGAGAUUUUUUUUUCAUUGAGGUGGACGUAUCCGUUUGAAAUAUUCAUAGUGUCACAUAUUAUUAGGCAAGUUUAUUACGUUCCUUAUCGUUCAAUUGUGCCACGUAAACGAGGGUGGUGUGUUGUAAUCAAAACAAAAUCAUUGGGUCAUACUGAAAAUGACGAUCUAGUGGAAGACGUUGCUUACCAAGUUGAUAAAAUUUUCUCAAAUUAAUGAUGUGAUUGAGGUUGAACAAAUUAUAAGUUUAUGUGAUACAAUGGUUGAGGGUCAUCAAGUUGAUGCAUCUAUAUUGUUGAAAGAAAAUAAUAUGGACGAAGAAUAUGAAGAGUUUGGAUCCGAGGACAAUAUCAGAUCAGAUGAUGAGAAUGAUAUGGAUGAAGAUCAUAAAUAGUUUGAAUAAAUUGUUUUUGUAAUUUUACUUAAUGAAUCGUGUAUAGAGAGUGUGUUGAUGCAUCUAUGUUGUUGGUAGAAAAAACAUGUUGAUUUAAAUGUGUUUUAUUGAUUUAUUAAUUGUGUUGAUGAAUUAGUUAUA